UUCUAAUACCAUUUUAUCCGCCCCCAUCCCGAGCUGCUUUCUCUCUCCCAAGGCGAUUUCCAGAUCUAGGGUUUCAAUGACAUCGAAUCGUUGAUUUUCUCUCUAUCCCACAGAAGAUCCACUGGGGUUGACCUCUAGGUACCGUUUUAAACCAUCUUCUCUGAGAUCGGCUGCUGCUUAUGUUAAUCCUCAUGGUCUUCUGUUCAGAUCUGGUUUUAAUACAGAGAACUAAAGGCUAGGGUUCGACUAACUGGCAGUUAACUUCUCCGAGAUCCGUUGCUGCUCGUGUUAAUCCUCAUCUUCUUCUGUUCAGAUCUGGCUUUAAUAAUGAGAACUAAAGGCUAGGGUUCGACUAACUGGCAGUUAACUUCUCCGAGAUCCGUUGCUGCUCGUGUUAAUCCUCAUCUUCUUCUGUUCAGAUCUGGCUUUAAUAAUGGUGGCUGAACAACAAGUGAGUAGCUUGUGUUUGGAGGCUCAUGAGUUCAUGAUUGCUGGUAGAUGGUUGGAUUUGGCUUUGUUGAUGAUUACUUCUGCUGAUUUGGUGUUUUCCAAAGCGUCAAAUAAAGUGAGAGAAGACGAAGGCUUCCGGCGAGAAAGUUAGGAAUGAUAUGAUUCACGUCAAAGUUUAAGCGUUAUUUAACGAAGGACCUGCCAGAUAUUGUGAUGCAGGUAUCUGUGAUGAAAAGGCUUCGACAUCCAAAUAUUGUGCUCUUCAUGGGUGCAGUAAUUUCACCUAACCACAUGGUGACGUUUUUUUGCGUCGUACGAUCCAUGUCGGCCCGGUGUCCGAGUUGCUGUCCAACUGUGCGUAAAGGCCCGUGUUAAGGUAAGAAUGGUGACGGGUGACAAUCUUCAAACCGCCAAGGCAAUUGCGUUAGAAUGCGGUAUACUUGGGUCAGAUGCGGACGCUACCAAGCCAAACCUAAUUGAAAGGAAGUCCUUCCGUGCAAUGUCGGAUGCACAAAGACUCGAAGUAGCUGAGAGGAUAUCGGUGAUGGGGAAGUCGUCUCCUAACAAUAACUGUUACUCGUGCAAGCUCUGAGGAAAAGAGGACAUGUCGUUGCGGUUACUGGAGAUGGAACUGGCGAUGCCCCUGCUUUACAUGAGGCGGAUAUCGGUCUUGCUAUGGGUACUCAAGGCACUGAAGUAGCAGAAGAGAGUAGUGACAUCAUCAUAUUGGACGAUAACUUUGCUUCGGUUGUUAGGGAGCCCUCGCUUUUUUUGCACUUUUCGUCUAGGCCUCAGGCGAGUCUUAUGCGCCUUUGAUGACUAUAGUUGUAGGUACGUGGCAUUUACAUUUCUACUUUAUUAAGAAAUCGGUAUGCCUUUCGUGAAGCACGGGUGAAUCCACUAAAGGAUUAAUAAUUGAGAUUAUGGUCACGAUAGUCAUGUUAUUUGAUUUGGCUGUGUUAUCAUGUUAUUUGAUUGCGUAUGCUGAUAAAACCUGUCAUUAUCCACCACGGAUAUGGAACUGGAGAUGGAACUGGCGAUGCCCCUGCUUUACAUGAGGCGGAUAUCGGUCUUGCUAUGGGUACUCAAGGCACUGAAGUAGCAGAAGAGAGUAGUGACAUCAUCAUAUUGGACGAUAACUUUGCUUCGGUUGUUAGGGAGGUUGAAAAGAGGUGAACAGCUGGGUUGAAAAGAGGGAAUAGUGGUCAACAAUGGUCAGAAGGGUGAAAAGAGGGAACAACUGUAGCUUGCUUGAAAAGAGGGAACAAUGGUCAACAGUGGUCGGUAUGCUGAAAAGAGGUGAACUGUGGUCAGAAUUCAGCAGUCUGCUGAAAAGAGAAUACUAUUUUCAUCUGGGUCUUCCAUUGUUUCUCACCUCUAUUCCUAACACAUUUGAUUCUUGCAUUAUUUCUCUAUUUUUAACAUCUUGGUUCUGCGUUGUGUUUACAAUUCAUUCCAAACACAUAUCAAUUGAGAGGUAUGGGUGGUGGUUAUCCAAUUCCAAUUGAACCACAAGGGCCUUCAAGUCAUGGACGAUCAAACCCUUCUCCAGUGACAACCCCACCUUCCGUAACAAACCCACCCCCCGUCACAAACCCACCUCCCGUCACAAACUCAACUCCUGUCACAAUUCCUCAAGAUAAUGAUCCAAAUACUUGGACGGAUGAAGAGUUGAUUUGGGCGUAUGACUAUACCUUUGCUCAACUACAAUUUGGGGCACUACGUAUUGGGGAGGGGCAUUAUCGUCCAUUGGCAAACACUCCUACAGUGCCAAACCAUCCACCAUCUUCAAACCCCCCUCAAGUGGAAAACCCCCAUCAAACACAAGGAGUACCGAAUUGGGCUGAAGGGUACGAAACCGAUCCUGGAGCGGAAUACGAACCACCCUUGGAUGAAGAAAUGAAUUGGGAACCUUAAAAAAACGUUAUUGAUGAAUGCAUCCACCGAAACGACGAUGAUAAUGAUUGAUUCUCCUAUGAUUCGGUGUUUUGUGUUUUAGUAAUAUUUAAUGUGAUUUACUAAAUGUUCUAUUAUGUGUUAGUUAUUUUUAUUUCAAUGUAUUUUUGUUUUGUGUUAGUUUGAAUUUUAUUUA